rnacentral:rRNA from 1 species
CAGUCGCCACGGUAAUGCGUAGGGUGCAAGCGUUAAUCGGAAUUACUGGGCGUAAAGCGUGCGCAGGCGGUUCGCUAAGACAGAUGUGAAAUCCCCGGGCUUAACCUGGGAACUGCAUUUGUGACUGGCGGGCUAGAGUAUGGCAGAGGGGGGUGGAAUUCCACGUGUAGCAGUGAAAUGCGUAGAGAUGUGGAGGAACACCGAUGGCGAAGGCAGCCCCCUGGGCCAAUACUGACGCUCAUGCACGAAAGCGUGGGGAGCAAACAGGAUUAGAUACCCGCGUAGUCCCUGUCUCUUAUAC